UACGGAGGGGGCUAGCGUUGUUCGGAAUUACUGGGCUUAAAGCGCGCGUAGGCGGACCUGCAAGUCGGGGGUGAAAGCCCGAGGCUCAACCUCGGAACUGCCUUCGAUACUGCGGGUCUCGAGUCCGGGAGAGGUGAGUGGAAUUCCUAGUGUAGAGGUGAAAUUCGUAGAUAUUAGGAAGAACACCAGUGGCGAAGGCGGCGCGCUGGCCCGGUACUGACGCUGAGGUGCGAAAGCGUGGGGAGCAAACAGG
rnacentral:rRNA from 1 species